AGUGAGGGCGGCCCAGCUUCCCUCGGAUGGCCACGGGGCUCGAGCACAGCCAGGCCCUCCCACCGGGCUAGGGGAGAGUGGGCGGCCAUCCCUGGGGACAGGGAGCAGGGAGAAGCCGCAGCCCAGGUGCGGGGAGGGCUGUCCACCCGCCUGAAACCUGCUUGGGACUGUGUGCAUUGUUGCCCCAGGCACUCCUAGAGGUCGGGCCAAGGAAAACACACGUUCAAUUUCAGAAGUAAGAGCAAGGACGGAACGCGGCUUCCUGAGGAAAUGGAAAUGCUAACACUGGGGCUCUUGGAAAUGAAACCACAUGUUGAUUGUAAAGGUCUGAAACAAUAAACAGAGAAGUGAUUCGAAAACAGCUUUCUCUUAAAAAUUCCUGCCAAAGCUGGAAAAAACAAUCGGGCGUUUGCUCCGAGGAAAAAGCUCUCUGACGUUUGAAAGGCGAGAUGGCAUCACGGAUAACGGCAGAGCUUCCCAGCCCGCCCCUUGGAAGGCGCAGGAGAGGAAAAAGGAAACAUUUGAUUUUCGAGUUUUUACAAAUGAGGGGAAAACAGCUCUCCUAAAAGCACAGCUGCAAAAUCACUGAGAUCAGGAAGAGCCUGGAAAGCAAAGAACUGUGACUGCCAGACAGCUCUCCUUUCCGUGCGGGGCCUGGGGAAUGCGCAGGUGCUCAGAAGAACUUCGGGUUUGUUUUACCCUGCGUGGCCUGUGGCGGGACCUUCCAGUGAGCCGGGACGGGGCACCUGGGACAGCCUUGGUCAGUGAUGACCACUGUUUGUGUCUUGAACACCCAGGGCCUUUCCUCACCUGUGCUCCGCCUAAAAGCACCUGGGACACCAUCCACUUAGAAGGACAUUCUUUCUACAACCUUUUUUCUCCUUGUAAAGAAAUUUCAUCCAGAUACAUGCAGUUUUAGAAAGUGAAACUCCUAGGCCACACCCAGACCGACUGCACCAAAUCUCCAGGGCGUCAGUAUUUUCUUAAAAAGCUCCCUAGGUGAUUCCAACACUGCAUUAACUGUAAGGUCCAGUUCACCAUUUUAUCCCCACCACCUGGAUCAGUGCCCGGCCCAGGCAGGAGCACAGGUGUUUAUCUAAAAUGAAUGAAUGAUUGAACAAACCAACAAAUAGAUCACUGUGACAGAGAGGCCACAGGCUUCCAAACUGGGGAGUAUAUAUCUCCAGCCCACGUUCUCCUGAUGCUCUGCCAGAAGUGAAGGCUUCCCUGAACCAAGUAGAUGAUGAGGGCUGUGCCUAAGGUGGCUUCUGUCCAAGGGAACGAAAGGGUCAGCAUGGCUCCCUGGGCUCAGGUCCCUGGGCAGAGGCAAGGCUGGGCCAGGCUGCCUGCUGCUCAGAGCUGCAGCACAGUAAGCCCAGAGCCCCCAGAAGUGAGGUGGUCUGAGCCCAGGGGCCCUGCCUGGCACGCCCCUUUCGAGAAAGCACAUCGGUGCAUGGGGCUGGGGCUAGGAGAUUGGGCUUUGCGUCCAGCUCCACAUCUGACCCUGCAUGUCCUCUGACCCAUCAUGUCCUCUGACCCAUCAUUCUUCUCUCUGGACCUUGGUUUCCCCUUUUACAAAAUAGGGCUGAUGAAAAAGGGGGGCUUAAAUGCCUCCCAUUUUGGUAGCUUCACAGGGGGGCUGUGAGCCUGGUGGGAAUGGAGACAUCACAGGGCAUGGGGCCUUUCUCCAGUGUCAGAGCCCCAAGGAGGGUUCACCACUGCUGGGGAUCUUUAAACCCACCCAGCUGCCAUCCCCUGCCCCCAGCACCACCCUGCACCUGCAACGUGGCAAUACGGCUGGAGCAACACAAGCACGAGUUUAAAGGCAGCAUUUCGCAGAGGGGUGGGGCUCUGAGGGGCACCAAGGAGCCCUGGCUUUCAUUUCAGGAAAUCUGGGAGUCUUUACUUCCACUCAGUGCCUCAGUCUCUCCCAAGUCCAUUUCAGGUUGACUUCAUAUGGCAAUGCCCAGCCCAUCCUUCCUGCACACUGCCCUGGCCUGCCAGGGAGGACUGGGGGCCCAUCUUGCCUUCCAGGGCCCGGGGUCUGGCUUCCCCUGGAGCUAUGAGCUAAUCAAGCAAAAGCCAUGGAGGGCCGGGCCAGGAAACGGCUGGGCAAGCCAGGGACCAAGGCAAAUAGCAGCUUCCAGGCAGACCUGGCUCUUCCUGCCCUGGCCCUGCCGAGGCGCCUGGCUUCUUCCUGGGCCACUGGCCGGGGUCUAGCGAGGAUCACGGCUGUGCUGGCCAAAAGCAGCUGGAGAAAUGCAUGCCUCAGAAGGUGGAGGCAACUGAUGGUCUCCUGAAAGUCCUGAUGUCUCAGGGUCCCAAGACCCCCAGCCACCCUUAAUCCUCCCAACAUGAUACCCAUCAAGGGCUCAGCCAGCCCUGGUGUGUGCACUCACAGGGACAGGAAGCACUUCACCUGCAGAGCAUCCAAUACUCUUUAUCAACACCAUGCUGUGAGGCCAUUCCCAUUUCGAGACAAAGCCUGUCUUUCUGUUAUACUGCCCUUUGGCUGUCAUUCUUGGGAUGUAGAGGACAAAUGUUUGAAAGCAAUUAUUCUGUGCUCUUAGAGUCUUAGAUACAGCUCCGAUUCUCCCAGCCAACCAUGUGACCACACCCCAACCCUGUCUGCCCAAGAACAGGGUGCAGUGGGUUUAACUCGCUGGGACCCAGUCUGGGUCUUUGGUGAUUAAAUGUCAAAUGACAUCAACUCUU